UUUUGAAAGUAAAGUUAUAUAUACCAGAGCAGUACGAUAAAAAGUUUUAAAACUCAAAAAGCUUGGCGGUGCUGUAGACUAAUUAGGGGAACUUGUCUCGUAAUCGAUAAUCCCCGUUAAACCUUACCUGAACUAGUAUAAGCAACUUAUAUACCGUCGUCAUCAGGCAACCCCUAAAGGAAUUUAAGUUGACGUGAAAAAGUUAGUUUUUUUAUAUGUCAGAUCAAGGUGUAGUUUAUGUUUAGGAGAGGAUGAGUUACAAUUAUUAUUUAUAAUACGGAAAAAUUUAGGAAGAUUAAAUUUAAAAAGGAGGACUUAAAAGUAAGGGGAGAAAUUAAGCUCCUUUGAACAAAAGCUCUGUGGUGCGUACAUAUCGCCCGUCGCUCUCGCUAAAAAGUGAGAUAAGUCGUAACAUAGUAGGGGUAACGGAAGUUGUUCCUGAA
rnacentral:rRNA from 1 species